AUAUAUGUUGAUAUAGUUUUGGAUGAGGAGAGAGUUUGGUAUAGUUUGCGGACCAUCUAGACCAUAGUUAAAUUCGACGCGUGAGCGACACAACUAGCAUUUAAUUAAACUGUAGAAGAGAACGUUAAUGAAGAACCAGUUACCCAAGCUUUCAAGAAAUUUCACUCCAUAAGUUCAACUUCAUGCAACAUCUCGACGCAUCAAUAUCGUUCAACAAUUUAACUCGCUUUCUCAUCGCCUAUAUCUGUCAACUCUUGAUUCAUCGCAUCUCCAAAUGAGAAAGGAGAAUCAUAGCUCCAAAUUUCUGGCUUUCGAUGGCCAAUAAAAAUCCAACUUUCGGAUUGCUAACUAGUAUUUUCCGGCAACUCCUACAAUACUUAGCAUGUUUGAGGUAUGAUACUUCGACUAUUUGGUGACGGCGAGCUAUACAUCUUGGUAUGGUUGGUUUUGAGUUUCAGUGAAGUUACGAAGAUUUGGGAAAGAAUGAGAUAUAAGAGGAGCAGAGGAAUUAAAGUAACGUAACCAUGGCAAACUUCAUAUCACCUAUGUAUGUUUCUUUGUUGGACGGUUGUAACGGGAUUCCAUUCUGCAAACAUAUAUCGCGCAUCCCCAUCUUUCAAUAUCUCCACAACCACGACUAGGUAUCUCUCCGCCACCACCAUCUGACACGAUUCGCAAGACUACUGAAGAAACCCAUGUCAAAGUUCACCUAAUCACACAUGUAUCAUUUAUUAAGCGUGUUACAACUAGUCUUUCGUGAGUCGAACUCACAACCUUCUACUUACUAAGAGUAGACUAUGCCGCUAUACCAAAUGGUAUUGGCCCGUCUGACACGAGUCGCAAGACCACUGAAGAAACCCAUGUCAAAGUUUACCUAAUCACACAUGUAUCAUUUAUUAAGCGUGUUACAACUAAAAUGUUACAACUAGUCUUCCGUAAGUCGAACUCACAACCUUCUACUUACUAAAAGUAAACUAUGCCGCUAUACCAAAUGGUAAAGGCCAAGUAAAUAUGUUUUCAUGUUCUUUGCCAUGCCAAAUGCAGAUAUAAUACAUAAUGAAAGAACAGAUAAUCAGAUGACAUUUCAAAAAAGAGGAAGCGUGGUCUUUCAUACUAUUUAGGCAAUUAGGCCUCACAUAUGUUUUCAAUUUCAAAUCUCAUUCCCUCAUGGUCACUCGAUUGUACUUUCAAAGUCUGAUAGUUAUUCAUUUGUGACAUGGCAAACUAUUAGACCAUCCAUGACGACACAACCUUCAUUCAUUUCAAACGUGAAUGCACUAUGUUAUGAUACAUCAUACGUGUGUGACGUCAUUCUCAAUUUUAGACUCCUCGUGAUUAGAGACAAAAUUAAGCCCAACACUAGAUCCAAGUCAGUAUGACAAACUCUCCUAAUACACUAUAGAAACUCUUUCACCCUUUUGGCUUCAAUUAGAAAUCAAACAUGUCGAAGAACCUGUCAUUCAUGUUUAGCAAAAACUUGUUUAGACUUUCCUACCGCCCUGGACUAUUGAGUUUUAGAUCGGCCCCCUCCCGAACGAUGGAUCUCCUACCAAAGCACACUAAUAGUGGAUGGAUCUAUAGACGUUUUUCCACAUCAAUCAACCCUCUCACUCAAA
rnacentral:lncRNA from 1 species